rnacentral:rRNA from 1 species
CGGAUAUCUCGGCUCUUGCAUCGAUGAAGAACGUAGCGAAAUGCGAUACUUGGUGUGAAUUGCAGAAUCCCGUGAACCAUCGAGUCUUUGAACGCAAGUUGCGCCCGAAGCCAUUAGGCUGAGGGCACGCCUGCCUGGGUGUCG